GUCCAAGCUAUGUAUCCCCAAUGGAGGAAGGCAUCUCCAGGAAGAGCAGUAGGCACUGUCCCUUGAAGGCCAAAGCCCUCGUGUUCAACACUGCAGGGUUCAGUUUGCUUGUGGCAGUUUUGCACCACUGGGGACUCCAUUGCCUCUGCCGUGAGGAGCCAGUUUGCCUCUCUCUGCAGCACUGGACUGGGUCAAGUCAGAGACAGAGCAACACCAAGGGGAUGUCGUAGGUGUGCCGGACACGAUAAAUGAGCUCCUUAAACUCUGCAGCCUCCUGAAAAGAUUGGCG